rnacentral:rRNA from 1 species
UAAGGAAUAUUCCGCAAUGGGCGAAAGCCUGACGGAGCAAUCCUUCGUAAACGAUGAAGUCUUUCGGGAUGUAAAGUUUAGUAGUUGGGGAAGAAAUCUUGACUGUACCCAACGAAUAGUCACGGCUAACUACGUGCCAGCAGCCGCGGUAAUACGUAGGUGGCAAGCAUUGCUCGGAUUUAUUGGGCGUAAAGCGCGUGUAGGUGUCUUUGCAAGUUUUUUAUUAAAUAUCCUCGCUCAACGGGGAGAAUGUAAAAAAUACUACAAGGAUUGAGAAAAGUAGAGGUAAGCGGAACUUGUGGAGUAGGAGUGAAAUCCGUUGAUAUCACAAGGAACACCAAUGGCGAAAGCAGCUUACUGGGCUUAUUCUGACACUAAGACGCGAAAGCGUGGGGAGCGAAUGGG